rnacentral:rRNA from 1 species
AUUCCAGCUCCAGUAGCGUAUAUUAAUGCGGCUGCAGUUAAAAAGCUCGUAGUCGUAUCUAGGGCAUGGGCGGAGGGUCCCUCGUAAGGGGUGCACUCUGCGUUCCAUCCUCCCUCGCGGCUUGUCGCCCGGUUCUCUUAACUGAGUGCCGGGUGCGGCCGGAACGUUUACUUUGAAAAAUUGGAGUGUUUAAAGCAGGCGUAGCAGCCUGAACAGUAGAGCAUGGAAUAAUGGAAUAGGACCUCGGUUCUAUUGCGUUGGUUUUAAGAGUCCGAGGUAAUGAUUGAGGGGGACUGACGGGGGCAUUCGUAUUGCGGUGUGAGAGGUGAAAUUCUUGGAUCGCCGCAAGACGACCGGUAGCGAAAGCGUUUGCCAAGAAUGUCUUCAUUG